ensembl:snRNA U6 U6 spliceosomal RNA
GUGCUCGAUUCCACAACACCUAUACUCAAAUUGGAAUGAUACAGAGAAAAUUAGCAUUGACCCUGCGCAAGGAUGACACGCAAAUUCGUGACCCAAAACAAAACAAA